UUUAAUUUUAUUCUCCUUCAUCUCCCCUGUGGAUUAUUUCAUCUCUUUUGUAUUUUGCGUUAUAAUUUAAUUUGUGUAUGUUUAAAAAAGAAGAAGAAGAAGAAGGAAAAAGAGAGGGAGGAGGAAAGAGGACUGUGAACUCCUCACCUCACCAGAGGUUCCUUAUCUCUCUCAUUUGUUUUAUGGCCACUAAAUCUACUUUUAAACGCUGCCCUGACUGUCCUGCACCUUUCCCUUCAGCUGAUGGACAUUGUCUUCUUGUGGUCACAGUUCCCCUAACCCCGUUUCCUAUAACUCACCAACUGCGAAAUUGCCAACUGUAAGAUCUUGCCAGAACGAAACCCUUACUAUAUCUAUUUGUGAACACACAGGCACACAUUGGGAGAGAAGGGCUUGGCAGUUCUCAACAUGAAGGCAAAAAGACUAAAAACAUGUAGUUGGCUCUAAACAGCUUUUAACCAUUUUAUUAAACAAACCGGCUGACAUUCUAACAAAGCGUGCACACUUGAUGUGACUGAAGAGAAGUGCCAGGAACCCUUGCACAGCUCCUUUUGGCCCCCUGUGAGCAUUCUGGUACACCAGAUCCCUUCGGUUUUCAUGAUCCUCAGCAACUUGUUCUGAUCUUACAGAGCAGGGAGCACUCCAUUCUCUAAGAGCUCUGGUGCAAUAGCUUGCAUGCAGCAUGUCCUCUCUGUGGCAUAUGUGUUAUGUACCUUUAAGAAGACUAGAAAGCAGUUACCCAGGUUCCCUCUGGCUACUCUGUGGGUGUGGUUAGAAGUAGUCUCCGUGUAUUUUAUACCUGAAAGUAGUAGUAGUAUGUAGUACCUUCAUGUUUGUGUUUAGUUUCAAUCAAGAGAUAAUGGCUGGGUUCAGAUGAAAUACGAAACCAGAGGUCUCUCUAUCUCUGGUUUCACUAAUCAAAGACUGAAUCCAGGGAACUACAGUUAAAGGGGGGUAUGGGCCCACGGUUUCCCUCCCCAAACUCCAUUUGUUACCUAGGGUUAUCUUUAGGUUUGCUUGUCCCAACUUCCGGUUUGCCUAUGGCAGCUGUACGCUAGAACUCUGCACUGCUAUUAGCCUUCUCCCAUGCCGGAGUUGAGGGAAGAAGCUCCUCCCUUGCUCCAGCUGCUAUGGGUUCUGUGGGAUGUCCUUCAGGAACGAAGGAUGCCCGCACAGCCAGCUCCCCCGCUUCUCUGCAGUCUUGCAGAUAGGAGAGCAGGGGGCAUGGCAUGGAUCCAUUGGAUCCACAGUUCCAUAUUACAUCUGAACUGGGCCACUGUUUUAAGAAUCCCUCUCUCUGGCUUCUGCUGAUGAAGGAUAACAGAACAUGCAGGGGCUCUACACAAUGAGUGAGUAGUCCCUUGGAACCCACUAAAAAAACCAAAAAAUUACACUUGCAGUCCCUCAAAACUUGUGCACUUCUUUAUUCAGCCAUGAAAUACAAUAGUGGAAGCCUGGGGCGUAGCCAGCCCGCUGGCAGCCCGUGUGCGGCUGUGUCAAGUGCCCCAAUAGCCCCGCC